rnacentral:rRNA from 1 species
CAUUAACUGAAUCCAUAGGUUAAUGAGGCGAACCGGGGGAACUGAAACAUCUAAGUACCCCGAGGAAAAGAAAUCAACCGAGAUUCCCCCAGUAGCGGCGAGCGAACGGGGAGGAGCCCAGAGCCUGAAUCAGUGUGUGUGUUAGUGGAAGCGUCUGGAAAGGCGCGCGAUACAGGGUGACAGCCCCGUACACAAAAAUGCACAUACUGUGAGCUCGAUGAGUAGGGCGGGACACGUGGUAUCCUGUCUGAAUAUGGGGGGACCAUCCUCCAAGGCUAAAUACUCCUGACUGACCGAUAGUGAACCAGUACCGUGAGGGAAAGGCGAAAAGAACCCCGGCGAGGGGAGUGAAAAAGAACCUGAAACCGUGUACGUACAAGCAGUGGGAGCCUCUUAAUGGGGUGACUGCGUACCUUUUGUAUAAUGGGUCAGCGACUUAUAUUCUGUAGCAAGGUUAACCGAAUAGGGGAGCCGAAGGGAAACCGAGUCUUAACUGGGCGUUAAGUUGCAGGGUAUAGACCCGAAACCCGGUGAUCUAGCCAUGGGCAGGUUGAAGGUUGGGUAACACUAACUGGAGGACCGAACCGACUAAUGUUGAAAAAUUAGCGGAUGACUUGUGGCUGGGGGUGAAAGGCCAAUCAAACCGGGAGAUAGCUGGUUCUCCCCGAAAGCUAUUUAGGUAGCGCCUCGUGAAUUCAUCUCCGGGGGUAGAGCACUGUUUCGGCAAGGGGGUCAUCCCGACUUACCAACCCGAUGCAAACUGCGAAUACCGGAGAAUGUUAUCACGGGAGACACACGGCGGGUGCUAACGUCCGUCGUGAAGAGGGAAACAACCCAGACCGCCAGCUAAGGUCCCAAAGUCAUGGUUAAGUGGGAAACGAUGUGGGAAGGCCCAGACAGCCAGGAUGUUGGCUUAGAAGCAGCCAUCAUUUAAAGAAAGCGUAAUAGCUCACUGGUCGAGUCGGCCUGCGCGGAAGAUGUAACGGGGCUAAACCAUGCACCGAAGCUGCGGCAGCGACACUAUGUGUUGUUGGGUAGGGGAGCGUUCUGUAAGCCUGUGAAGGUGUACUGUGAGGUAUGCUGGAGGUAUCAGAAGUGCGAAUGCUGACAUAAGUAACGAUAAAGCGGGUGAAAAGCCCGCUCGCCGGAAGACCAAGGGUUCCUGUCCAACGUUAAUCGGGGCAGGGUGAGUCGACCCCUAAGGCGAGGCCGAAAGGCGUAGUCGAUGGGAAACAGGUUAAUAUUCCUGUACUUGGUGUUACUGCGAAGGGGGGACGGAGAAGGCUAUGUUGGCCGGGCGACGGUUGUCCCGGUUUAAGCGUGUAGGCUGGUUUUCCAGGCAAAUCCGGAAAAUCAAGGCUGAGGCGUGAUGACGAGGCACUACGGUGCUGAAGCGACAAAUGCCCUGCUUCCAGGAAAAGCCUCUAAGCAUCAGGUAACAUCAAAUCGUACCCCAAACCGACACAGGUGGUCAGGUAGAGAAUACCAAGGCGCUUGAGAGAACUCGGGUGAAGGAACUAGGCAAAAUGGUGCCGUAACUUCGGGAGAAGGCACGCUGAUAUGUAGGUGAAGCGACUUGCUCGUGGAGCUGAAAUCAGUCGAAGAUACCAGCUGGCUGCAACUGUUUAUUAAAAACACAGCACUGUGCAAACACGAAAGUGGACGUAUACGGUGUGACGCCUGCCCGGUGCCGGAAGGUUAAUUGAUGGGGUUAGCGGUAACGCGAAGCUCUUGAUCGAAGCCCCGGUAAACGGCGGCCGUAACUAUAACGGUCCUAAGGUAGCGAAAUUCCUUGUCGGGUAAGUUCCGACCUGCACGAAUGGCGUAAUGAUGGCCAGGCUGUCUCCACCCGAGACUCAGUGAAAUUGAACUCGCUGUGAAGAUGCAGUGUACCCGCGGCAAGACGGAAAGACCCCGUGAACCUUUACUAUAGCUUGACACUGAACAUUGAGCCUUGAUGUGUAGGAUAGGUGGGAGGCUUUGAAGUGUGGACGCCAGUCUGCAUGGAGCCGACCUUGAAAUACCACCCUUUAAUGUUUGAUGUUCUAACGUGGGCCCCUUACCGGGGUUGCGGACAGUGUCUGGUGGGUAGUUUGACUGGGGCGGUCUCCUCCUAAAGAGUAACGGAGGAGCACGAAGGUUGGCUAAUCCUGGUCGGACAUCAGGAGGUUAGUGCAAUGGCAUAAGCCAGCUUGACUGCGAGCGUGACGGCGCGAGCAGGUGCGAAAGCAGGUCAUAGUGAUCCGGUGGUUCUGAAUGGAAGGGCCAUCGCUCAACGGAUAAAAGGUACUCCGGGGAUAACAGGCUGAUACCGCCCAAGAGUUCAUAUCGACGGCGGUGUUUGGCACCUCGAUGUCGGCUCAUCACAUCCUGGGGCUGAAGUAGGUCCCAAGGGUAUGGCUGUUCGCCAUUUAAAGUGGUACGCGAGCUGGGUUUAGAACGUCGUGAGACAGUUCGGUCCCUAUCUGCCGUGGGCGCUGGAGAACUGAGGGGGGCUGCUCCUAGUACGAGAGGACCGGAGUGGACGCAUCACUGGUGUUCGGGUUGUCAUGCCAAUGGCACUGCCCGGUAGCUAAAUGCGGAAGAGAUAAGUGCUGAAAGCAUCUAAGCACGAAACUUGCCCCGAGAUGAGUUCUCCCUGACUCCUUGAGAGUCCUGAAGGAACGUUGAAGACGACGACGUUGAUAGGCCGGGUGUGUAAGCGCAGCGAUGCGUUGAGCUAACCGGUACUAAUGAACCGUGAGGCUUAACCUU